rnacentral:lncRNA from 1 species
CCUCCAAAGUUCCAAACUAAUAAUGAUAAUUUCAAGAUUCAAGUAAUAAGCGAAUAAGGCAAUAAAUAAAAAUGAACUAAUUUUAGUUGUAAUUAUAUAAAAUAGGAUCUUACAAAAAAGUGAAAAAUAUAACCUUGUAUUCGAAAACAUUUAUUUCAAUUUAACAAUGGACUAAAUCAAGCUAUCUUGAUAUGAUAUUCACUAUAAUAAUUUUCUUCCAUAUAUAGAAAAUACAACUUUUUAUUUGGCAACAUGCAUGUACAAAUAAUUUUGACAAAUAGAAAUUAUAUAAAUGUUUCUCACUUCCACAAAUAUCUAACACCCACCGCCACCGCCACCUCCACCGCCACCGCCGCCACCUCCGCCUCCACCACACCCACCACCACCACCGUGAUGACCACCACCACCACCGCCAUGGCGUUUCCUCCGGGGAUUGUCGGAGCCGUCAUCAACGCAAGCAAAUAUGAGAAAAGACAUUAUUGAAAUGGACAAAACAAACAUGCCAACCAUUAACAUAAACCCUGACCCCUCAAACAUAAAACCUCCCUCACUUGCCCCAUAAUUACCAAUAUUGCCUAAAACUCUAGUCAUCUUAUUUAUAUUAUAUUACGGACAGAAUAUAUAUCUAUUUUGAGAGGAUAUGAAAAUAUGUGCACCAAGGUGUAUGUAUAU